rnacentral:rRNA from 1 species
UACAGAGGGGGCAAGCGUUGUUCGGAAUUACUGGGCGUAAAGGGCGCGUAGGCGGCCAGCACAAGUCAGUUGUGAAAUCUCCGAGCUUAACUCGGAAAGGUCAACUGAUACUGUGCGGCUAGAGUGCGGAAGGGGCAACUGGAAUUCUUGGUGUAGCGGUGAAAUGCGUAGAUAUCAAGAGGAACACCUGCGGCGAAGGCGGGUUGCGUGGGCUGACACUGACGCUGAUGCGCGAAAGCUAGGGGAGCGAACAGG